CCUGUAUGUAAAGCAGGGACAGACAUCUCUGCAGCCCUCACACCUGGCUGAGUCGUCUUCCGCCGAACCUUCUACCAGGGGGGUUCCCAGGAGGCGUGGUCGGCCGGCCAGGGGCUGAGGUUCGGGGGCUCAGUGGGAGGUUUUCAGUCCCGGGACAGGUUGGACCAGCAGAAGACUAGACCUGCCAUCCAUCUCUUACCAUAGCCUGGGCAUCACCUACCUGUCCCUCCUCCCCUGAGCCCUUCCCUUGAUAAAAUGCACCACUUGUCAAAUGCUCCCCAGCAAGGCGGCUGCCCCGCCCUCCGUCACACACUCAGGGAGAUGACGUGACUUACACAGGGCUCCCAGCUGAGCCCAGCUUCAGAUACUGGUCUAAAUCCACGGUCUAGUAAGCUCUAUUACAUUCUCGUCUGGGCAGAUGGGAGGGAGGUUCAAAAGGGAGGAAAUAUAUGUAUACCUAUGGCUGAUUCGUGUUGAGGUUUGACAGAAAACAGCAAAAUUCUGUAAAAUGAUUAUCCUUCAGUAAAAAAUAAAAAGCCUGUGUCCUGGCGCCCCUGCCCCCAGUGGCCCUGCUCACCGCAGUCCCAUCCUCCAGGGUCCCACUGGUCCUUUACCUUCUCUCACGUCCUAGGCUUGUAGUCUUUGAUAGUUUGACCAGGGGAAAAUUUCAGGCUUAAAAGGCAAUGCAAAAGCAUGGGUCAUGUAGCCUGGGCUUCCCUGGUGGCCCGGUGGGAAAGAAUUCACCUGCGAAGGUAGGAAACACAGGUUCAAUCCCCGGUCUGGGAAGAGCUAGUCUGUGAGCCACAACUACUCCAGGAGCCGCACCUGCUGAAGGCCACGUGCCUGGAGCCCACGCUCUGCGAGGAGAGAAACCAGCGAUGAGAAGCCCGCACGCGGCCGUUAGCCGGGAGCGCCUGCUCACUGCAGCCAGAGAAAGCUCCAGGCUGCCGCGGAGGCCCAGCGCAGCCGGGAAUAAAUACAAAUGCAUCUUCAGCAUAGCCCAGUGUGAGGUUCCAAACAUUCCCUCGAGGGGUGUUUGUCCGCUGGCCAGAGCAUCCGUGUGUCCCGUAGGAGCAAGGAGCUCCAUCCGGCAGGAUGCUUUGGCAUCCCCUCCGGCAGGGUGGUGGGCGAAGGGUCCAGAUGGAGAAGGCCUGAGGGAAGUGGCCGGGCCCUGUGUGCUUCGGAAGGAGACAGUCCACCGUGAAGUGACCGUCUCCAGCUCGGUUCCUCCUCCGGCAUCCACCGUAGUCACCUUGGAUCCGCAGCAGGUCCUGCGAAUUCCUCCCAGGUUCCCGGCGUUUGCAUCUGCAGGAAACAGGAGCAGGUUGGCGCCACGGCCGCAGGAGCACGGCGACUGCGCCGGGAGCCCAGCACGCGCGGCGGUGUCUCGGGGCUGCGGUCUGGGGGCUGGGCGAACUGCACGGGUCAGCACCUGCAGCCACCUCACCUCCAGUUUGUCUCAUCAUCCCACGUGACCUCCGGUGCCUUUUCACCCUUUCCCACCGCAG
ensembl:lncRNA